UCCGGUUGAUCCUGCCAGAGGCCGCUGCUAUCCGGCUGGGACUAAGCCAUGCUAGUCUAGGGGCUUGUACCCCUUCGGGGGUGCAAGCACCGGCGGACAGCUCAGUAACACGUGGACAACCUGCCCUCGGGUGGGGGAUAACCCCGGGAAACUGGGGCUAAUCCCCCAUAGGUGAUGGGUGCUGGAAUGCCUCAUCUCCGAAAGCGCUCAGCGCCCGAGGAUGGGUCUGCGGCGGAUUAGGUAGUUGGUGGGGUAACGGCCCACCAAGCCUAAGAUCCGUACGGGCUGUGGGAGCAGGAGCCCGGAGAUGGACCCUGAGACAAGGGUCCAGGCCCUACGGGGCGCAGCAGGCGCGAAACCUCCGCAAUGCGGGAAACCGCGACGGGGUUAGCCGGAGUGCCCGUGCAUUGCACGGGCUGUCGGGGUGCCUAAACAGCACCCCAUAGCAAGGGCCGGGCAAGGCCGGUGGCAGCCGCCGCGGUAAGACCGGCGGCCCGAGUGGCGGCCACUCUUAUUGGGCCUAAAGCGUCCGUAGCCGGCCCAGUAAGUCCCCCGGGAAAUCUGGUCCCUUAACGAUCAGACUUCCGGGGGGUACUGCUGGGCUAGGGACCGGGAGAGGCCGAGGGUAUUCCCG
rnacentral:rRNA from 1 species